rnacentral:rRNA from 1 species
GUGGAGAAUAUUGGGCAAUGGGCGAAAGCCUGACCCAGCAACGCCGCGUGAAGGAAGAAGGUCUUCGGAUCGUAAACUUCUAUCCUUGGUGAAGAUAAUGACGGUAGCCGAGAAGGAAGCCCCGGCUAACUACGUGCCAGCAGCCGCGGUAAUACGUAGGGGGCAAGCGUUGUCCGGAAUGAUUGGGCGUAAAGGGCGCGUAGGCGGCCUGGUAAGUCUGGAGUGAAAGUCCUGCUUUUAAGGUGGGAAUUGCUUUGGAUACUGUCGGGCUUGAGUGCAGGAGAGGUAAGUGGAAUUCCCGGUGUAGCGGUGAAAUGCGUAGAGAUCGGGAGGAACACCAGUGGCGAAGGCGACUUACUGGACUGUAACUGACGCUGAGGCGCGAAAGUGUGGGGAGCAAACAGGAUUAGAAACCCGAGUAGUCC